CACGGGGGGAGCAAGCGUUGUUCGGAAUCACUGGGCGUAAAGGGCGUGUAGGCGGUUGGGUAAGUGGAAUGUGAAAUGCCCCGGCUCACCUGGGGACCGGCAUUCCAAACUGCUCAGCUCGAGUAUGGGAGAGGAUGAGGGAAUUCCUGGUGUAGCGGUGGAAAUGCGUAGAUAUCGGUAGGAACACCAGUGGCGAAGGCGGUUUCCUGGAGCUAACUUGACGCUGAGACGCGAAA
rnacentral:rRNA from 1 species